UGAGGACUGGUGAAGCUCUGCAGAUCCUGUUAGCAACCUAUUGAGUUUGGUGAGACCUGUGGUUGCAGAACAAUAGCCUCAGAGAGACCAACUAAGAUCCUUGAAUGGCUGUUGCUGAAAUGCGGAGGAUCAUCUUUAAUGAAGUCUGCAAUAACACUGACGGAGCAUUUGUGUUUGCUGCAAUUUGUAACUAUGUUCUAACACUUGUUAACGAAUGCUAUUGUGGGUUGCAAUGAGACCAAGGAACACUUGAGAAUAAACAUGACCGAGUGGUUGUU